rnacentral:rRNA from 1 species
AACGAACGCUGGCGGCAUGCCUAACACAUGCAAGUCGAACGAGACCUUCGGGUCUAGUGGCGCACGGGUGCGUAACGCGUGGGAACCUGCACUUAGGUUCGGAAUAACUCCCCGAGAGGGGUGCUAAUACCGGAUAAUGUCUUCGGACCAAAGAUUUAUCGCCUUUGGAUGGGCGCGCGUUGGAUUAGCUGGUUGGUAGGGUAAAAGCCUACCAAGGCGACGAUCCAUAGCUGGUCUGAGAGGAUGAUCAACCACACUGGGACUGAGACACGGCCCAGACUCGUAGGCAAGGGAGCAGUGGGGAAUAUUAGACGAUGGGCGAAAGCCUAAUCCAGCAGUGCCGCGUGAGUGAGGAAGGCCUUAGGAUUGUAAAUCUCUUUUAGCCGGGAUGAUAAUGACAGUACCGGGAGAAUAAGCUCCGGCUAACUCCGUG